GGGGCCGUAGCUCAGUUGGGAGAGCGCUUGAAUGGCAUUCAAGAGGUCGGGGGUUCGACUCCCCUCGGCUCCA
rfam:Deltaproteobacteria bacterium RIFCSPLOWO2_12_FTLL_57_22 rifcsplowo2_12_scaffold_14607, whole genome shotgun sequence.